UCUUAGCCGAACUCAGCAAAUUAAUGGCGGACGAUUUGCAGGAAAAUUCUGCUAUCAUUUAACAGCGCCAUCUAUUGGUUAGCACCGCCGAAAUUUUAACAUAACCUCAAAAUUUGUUUACAUUUCCACUAAAACGUCCGGAAUCGAGAAUAUUUAAUUAAUUUAUUUAGUUUUAAAUUAUUUUAUCGUCCCCAAGUGAUAAAGACCGGUAAUUUGGGUAAGAGAAAGUGAUUUUAGAAAAAAAAAUUGUGUAGUUUUUAAAAGAAAGUGCAGAAAAAUACUUCAGAAAAAUCAUACAAGGCAGUUGAUCACCACCAGAAAGCCCGGAAAUUUCACAUAGACAGGACUCGAAUGGCAGGAAAAUAUAGAGAUAUUCUGCCAAAUAAAUGUGAGAUCAACGCAAUGAAGAAUUAUCCACAAUACACGGCAUGCUUGUCCGGGAAUACAGUAAUCACUGUACGGAACGACGAAUCCAAAAGAAAAUAAAGUGUACCUACAUAUCAGUACGAUUUCAUGGGACGGCAACAAUAAGAAGAGGGCCCAUUCACGCUGCUCCAGCCGCUCCAGCCCAUAGAUUUCAGGGUUUUCUCAUGGGAAUCAAGAACGAUCUCCCCGUCAAGUGUUUUGUAAGAUGAACUUGGAGAAAGAAUUAGUGAUACACCUUGAUGAGACUGUAAAAAUUACCAAAAUUAUUCGUGCUUGUGAUCAUCAGUGAUUCAUUUACUUGGACGGAUUAAGAAGAAAGCCAUUGAGAAAGUUCCAAGGAUGAACAUUUUUCCACGAGUUUCUUCCUUUCCCGCAAACGUAUUUUAACAGGGCAGUUGCAUAAACAACCCCACUGCUGGUACAUUUUCCGACGAAGAUCUUGGAGUGGAAAAAUUCCUGUUUUCUACAGCAAAUUCUCUAAGAAAGUCAAAACAUCGAGAUUCAGCAUUAGGAGGUUGAAGAGGAAAUUCUCAAUACGGGAAAUGCAGAUUACUGGUUGGAAAAACCAGAGAAGGAUUUAUUCCCGGAAUGUGAAAAAUUCGAAGAGAUGUUAGAAAAGGAGGAUUUCUACUCAUAAUAAUACAACAAGGGAAUCCUUCAUUUGAUGAGAUUCUUCAUGCUCUUCACGAUGUUCCGGCCUAUCAUUUAUGUGACACAGAACAUCUAGCUACAAAACAUACAGCUCACUCAUUGGAAGAGAGUUAGGUAUGCAAUUCUUAUUUUCUGGCUUCUUGCUAGAACUUGUUCUUUUUAUAUUUACUCUCGAUAGACUUAAGGCGGGUUAGGACCUUAAUUCAUAGGGUUUCAUAGGAUAUUUCAAUACCAAAAUAUCAAAAUCUCUAUUUGGCUCUUAAUUGUCUCACAAUUUUAUACUAAAGAAUAAACCGUUCGUGUAGGUAGUUCUUUUCAACAUUCUAAAUUACUUUAAAUUAAAAAAAAAUACUAAAACUAGCAUGAGAUGAUGUAUAAGGUAAUAUUUAAGUCUACGUUAAACCCGCAAAACACCAGUAAAUAUUUAUUUUAUUUUCAAAAUAGUUUUUCGUUCAAAUAUUUUUUCACUUUUAGACUAUAAAAAGUAAAAGAAGAAAGUUUUUUUGCGGAUUUUUUUGAAGCGCAAAAGAUAAUUUUUGCUAGUAAUUUUAAUUUAAAGAAAGAAAGAUCUUUUAUAAUGAUAUUUAUUUCAAUCAAAAGUUUUUAAGAAAUAAUCAAAAAGAAUAAAGAGUUCUUCAUUUUAAAGUUGUAAAGACAAUAAAUCAAAAUUA